CAGUAGCCGCGGUAAUACGUAGGUGGCGAGCGUUGUCCGGAAUUAUUGGGCGUAAAGGGAGCGCAGGCGGACAUAUAAGUCCAUCUUAAAAGUGCGGGGCUCAACCCCGUGAGGGGAUGGAAACUGUAUGCCUUGAGUGCAGAAGAGGAGAGUGGAAUUCCACGUGUAGCGGUGAAAUGCGUAGAGAUGUGGAGGAACACCAGUGGCGAAGGCGACUCUCUGGGCCGACACUGACACUGAGAGACGAAAGCUAGGGGAGCAAAUGGGAUUAGAUACCCCAGUAGUCCCUGUCUCUUAUACA
rnacentral:rRNA from 1 species